GACGAACGCUGGCGGCGUGCUUAACACAUGCAAGUCGAACGAAGUGGCGAACGGGUGUGUAACGCGUAAUCAACCUGCCCUUCCGAGGGGGACAACAGUUGGAAACGACCGCUAAUAUCGCACACUGCAGGAGGGGAUCGCGUCUGAUUAGCUAGUUGGAGGGGUAACGGCCCACCAAGGCGAUGCUCAGUAGCCGGUCUGAGAGGGUGAACGGCAACAUGGGGACUGAGACACGGCCCAGACUCCUACGGGAGGCAGCAGUGGGGAAUCUUCCGCAAUGGACGAAAGUCUGACGGAGCAACGCCGCGUGAGUGAUGAAGGCCUUCGGGUAGUAAAGCUCUGUUAAUCGGGACGCGGUACCUGAAUAGAAAGCCACGGCUAACUACGUGCCAGCAGCCGCGGUAAUAC
rnacentral:rRNA from 1 species